UGUACACCCAAGCAUGGGUGUGGGUGUACUCUUUGCCAUUCGUUUCAACCUGGAGAUUCGUGCAAAGUCUUGCCGGAUUGAACAUUUUCCUCCUCAUCUCUAAUUUUUCUGUCACAUCCUCGUUCCUUUCACUGCGCUGACACGGUCCCCUGACUGUUCAUGUCGGGGACAUGGUGAGAGGCUGCCCCUCGCUGUAUCCAGAAAUUAAGCAGGGGCCCUGUCCUCCAUCCCUCACCUCCCUUUCCUGUAUCCUCGUGCUGUGGCCGCGCGGCAAAGAUCGGUGAUAUUCCCCCGGCCAUCUUCCUCGUGCUGCUCCGUCGUGCACACGUCGCCGUGGUACCACCAGGAAGCUACACGGCGCUGCCGGAGGAGCCCUGUCCUAGAGCCCUCUCCACCGUGCCCCGCGGCGCGCAGGCAAUGGUCGCCGGCUGAACUCCCAAGCAGACAUUUUCGCAGUGUUUGGAAGGGGCCGAAUCGGCAUGUUUCUUCUCCCCUGUAACAGAGUACACCGGUUCGCUCGUACCUCGUCCCGGCGCUUCUCAAGGCGGUGACUCCAGCGCCUCCGCCCACGAAGGCACCAGCGAGGCAGCGACAGGCGCUGUAGGCCUUCGCAUCGACGAAGGGGUCGGGGAAGAAGGGUGGAGCUACGAAGACGGCGGCCGGGCAGAUUUGAGCUGCGGCAUGGACUAGCGCCUGGCUUUUCACCGCGCGAGUUCUCUUCCGUUGCUUGCAUUCAAUCUAGAUUUGGGUUCCCUCAGUUUUGUGAUUCGGUCUUGUUUUCGGUUGCCUUCUCUUUAAUUCGCCCCAUUUUCUUUCUACCUCGCCGCAGGAGCAAUACAUGCCUGCUCGACGUCGACGGCCGCACGUACACGUACCUGGCCUUCACGUCGCCGGCCGAGAUGCUUGCCGUCGACGACUACACGCACGCGGAUGGACUUCACGUCAGCUGCCGAGCUGCUGGCCGUCGUCGGCCACACGCACGCGCACCUGGACUUCACGUCAGCUGCCGAGCUGCUGGUCGUCGUCGGCCACACGCACGCGCACCUGGACUUCACGUCAGCGACGAGGUUGCUCACUGCUGGUGGCCGCACGCACGCGCACCUGAACUUCUCGUCGCCGGCCAAUGUCAUCUUUGUGCCCUGUUGUGUCAUAGUUCCUGGUUCAUUUCUACGCUGGCUGCAGGCUGCCUAUGCGAUUGCAGCUCUAAUGUAUAAUGUAUGUAGUGUAGUCAUCAGAAAUGUAAGAGACUUGAGCAGUUAGCAGCAAAUGUAUCUAAAUUUUGUAGCUCUGAUGUAAGUAUCUAGUAUACAAUCAUGAAAAAACCAGCUGCAUGAA